AUGUUAGCAAAUUCAAAUUAGUAACUGCGUUUCCAAUAGCGAAAACCCGUUUGCCCACACAGCUAAGCAUUCAUUUAUCCAAAGCCAAAAAUUGCUAAAUGCCGUCAAAAAAGAAUAUUCAAGCCUAAAUCCCAGUAUAAAAUUACAACAGGCUUGGUUAUAGGAUUUUGGUGAAAUUAUGAAGCGUAUUGUCGACAAGUAAUAAACACGUUACUUCAGAACGCGCCCAACCUUGAGUAACAAAUUAUAUAUGUAAAUAGUAAAUUUGCUGAAGAAAAAGUGGAUCAGAAAAUAAUAGCAUGGUAAACACGAUCGCAAACAUGCUUCAUUCUUUUGUACAGGAAGGAAGUGCUAGGCUUAUAAGACAUCUUUAUAAAAAUUCACCAACUAUACAUAUUGUAUUUAUCUUGCAAGUGCUUUACCUAUAGUAGGAUUCCGUGUGAAUAUUUAAAUUUAAGUAAAUUUAUUAUUGUUUUGAAAUUAAAGAGAAUAAAGUUGACCUGAAUACUGAAAAAAGUGUAAGAAUGGAGAGGCAUUUCGGGUAGUUUAACUUGAAGCGUAAUGUAUCAUAUUAUCAUUCCUUCCGAAGCUACUCAGAAACUGUUUCGCUACUUUCGUGGGACGAUCGCCUAUGUGAAUCAUCUUCACCUGCUGACUCGGGAGAAGCGUCUGCAGUUGGUGAAGCGCUCAAUGCUUUCAUUGGAAAUUCUUCUUUUAUCUGCAUAAAUUCAUCAGAAACUGCAGAUUCGUCAGUAUCAGAGACUGCGGAAGAAUUGACUCCCUCUUGCUGCUUUUGCUCGUCUGUCCCGACAUCAGAUUCAUCCUCAUAAUUAAUAUGGUGGUUGUCUUCAUUAUCCUCGUUAUUUCUUGCAUUUUUAAUCAUAUCUGCAAAUUUCAUUAUAAGCUUUCGUUCCCUAGACUUACAUUCUUCUUGAAGUUGCUCUGUAUAAGCCAUAAGCUUUUGAAGCUCGUUUUUUUGUUGAGCCAUACUAGCAAGGGCAAGGUCCUAAAUUUCAAAUAAUCAGCAAAAGAGAAAGAAUGUAAAGUUUUUUUCAUACCUUUAUCGAAUGGCUGCACUCCCACAGUACAUCAAAAUGUUCAUGGUCUUUCAAUGCUUGUUGUUCUAAUUCAAACCAGGCAAUACGUAAAGGGAAAGGAUCAACGUAGUUGAUAUAAAUCUAAAUUGUUAGCAUAUUUAAUUAAUCAGCUCAAAAACGACUGGCAAAAUGGGGUAGAUGCGACGAACAAAAAAAUUCCUUGGUUUGAAAGUCAUCACACAAUCAGCAAUUCAUUAACUACUACAGUAUUGCAAUAAACAUACCCUACAUAAAUUCUCUAAAACCACUAAUUGCAAUGUGUGCUUUGAUUCGGAUCUGCCGCACAACAGAUCCACGAUAAGUUCAUCGGUUAAUGAUUCUGAGGUUACGUUCCGUUGCAAUCGUUUCCAAGGUAUUUCAUCUGGAAAAUUAGUAAAAGAACGUUUUACACACUAUCUUUCUAUACCCCUUAAGACGUAUCUACAGGUUGGGCUAAUUGCGCACAAGAAAGCACUGCUUUCAUCCAAUUCUGAGCGUAGGACGAAUUUUUCUCCUUUAAAAUCUUUCAGUGAUAAAAAAAAUUUCAUGAGUUGUUUCCUGAGCUCAAAAUUUGAUGUGAAACAUCAAGGCGGUCUCAGUGCAAGUUUGCAGGGAAACGUAAUAAGAAACUUGAUAAUCCAACUUGUUGACUGCUAAUGUUUUAGUGUGCGCAGCUGAUAAAUUGGAAGCCGAAUGAGUUUAAAAUUUUAGGUUACUAAGAAACACUAUCUUGAAAAUUGUUUUUUUUUUAGAUUUUUUUCAUUGAAAGAAAAGAAUCUUUCUGAUUGAAAAAUUGCUGAUUCGGUGAUAUAACAAAUCGUUUAGUAUAAUAUAAGAGGUUUCCAUACGAGAAUAUUGGAUAAGAAUCAGCGCAAAUGUUUAUACCAUGUUUGUUAAAAAAAAAGAAUUUCAAAUUAAAGUAGUUAGCAAGAAGAAAUUCGCAAUGCAAUUAGAUGAUGACUACUACAAGUUAUUGAAAGUUUUUUAAAGUCAAUUAAACUAAGGUGAUUUCAAAAAAAAUGCUUUCAUCAAUAUGUGUUGGUUAACAAGGCCUUGUUUAUAAUAUCAUUUUUUCUCUUCGAGAUUCAAAACUACAUCGAGAUAUAAAACUGAGGUUUUUACAUAAAUGUAAAGGUUUAUGCUCUGUCAAGGCUUUAGAGCUUUGCACAGAGACCACUGGUUAUUAGGUACAUUGCAACCUUACGAAUAAACAUUAAUGAUCGUAAAAAAAAUAUAUAAGAUACACCGAAACAACCUAAAAUUGAUUGCGAAGACUGAGUCCGUAAACCAUAUUUUCUUCCUAAAGCGACUUGAAAAUCAAUUAACCGCAAAAACAAAUCAAAUGGUAGAGUUUAAAGAAAAGCUAAUCCUGUUUUUUUAGUAAAUCUAAACCCAAGCUCGUCAAAAAAUUCAGCAUAUUUAAUCUUUUUUCU